UACGUAGGGCGCAAGCGUUAUCCGGAAUUAUUGGGCGUAAAGAGCUCGUAGGCGGUCUGUCACGUCGGCUGUGAAAUCCCGAGGCUCAACCUCGGGUCUGCAGUCGAUACGGGCAAGCUAGAGUAUUGCAGGGGAGACUGGAAUUCCUGGUGUAGCGGUGAAAUGCGCAGAUAUCAGGAGGAACACCGGUGGCGAAGGCGGGUCUCUGGGGCAGUAACUGACGCUGAGGAGCGAAAGCGUGGGGAGCGAACAGG
rnacentral:rRNA from 1 species